rnacentral:lncRNA from 1 species
ACCCACUUGAUACAGGUCCGAAAAGUCAGUUUAAGUAACACUAAUCGUUUGUUCGUAAUUGUUCGUCAGAAAUAGUCCCACCUUUUAGAAAAUGUAACUUUUUUGCUUUAAAUUGAUUAAUUAAUAUUCAGUAUCGUACAUUCGACGAUCAUUUACAUUUGUUCGAUUGUAAGUAAUGUUUAAUUACAAUUUUAUCAAUACAUAUUUUUAUUGAAUUUUUUAUUGAUAUUACUAAUACGCGUGUGCGUGUCGAAAAUAUGCAUUUUAUCACGUCACCUAUUAGAAAUUACCAUAGAAAUUAUAAAUCUGUAAUCUAUUGUUCUUCAUUUAUGUUGAGGUGCAUUGAAGUUUGAGGUUAUACGUCUAAUGGCGUUUGCUAAAGACAUUUACGCACUGUUCUUAAUUCAAUGCUGUUAAUAUGCCCAUUCAAUAAAAAUAUUUAAAAAAUGUAAUUAAACAUUAUUUAUCAUUGAACAAACCAUACUGAAUAUUGAUUGAUCGAUUUAAAGAAAAAAGUUAUUUUUUCUACAAGGACGGAUAAGUUGACAGUGAAAAUUUGUUUAAUUUUUUAUAAAUAAACGAAAGACGAACAAACGAUUAAUACUGAUAAACAAUUACGAACAAACUAUUAGAGCCAAUAAGAAAAAGGUAUGAAAUGCAGGGUAUGAAAUGUCGAGCGCGAGCGACACCUAAGUUUACCCCACGUAAGUUUUUAAAUUUUUUAAAUUGCCAAAAUCGACAUUACCGACAUACUAGGCGACAUACAUUUUACUGAAACGACAACAGAUGAUGCGACGGCGGUUGCGAUUAUCGGAGGAAUUCCCCAGUAGUUGUGGCGUUAUUGAGCAAUAAAAAACCGUGAUGUACAGUCUACACUAUUACGGGGUCAAAUUAAUUUGAAAUGUUCUACCUAGAUUAUACAGUUCCUGCAGGAGUUAAAGGUGAAGAAGCCGCUUUCCAUUUUCCUGAAGUAACAGCGGUUCCAACGAAAGUGGCAGAACUUCUUCUAAUAGAGGAAUAGAAGCAGACGGAAUUGCCCCAUUAAAAGAUGAAAAAGUACUGCAUCCAGUGAAAACAUAUGACGGGAAAAGAAGAAUUGUUUCAACUGCAGAAAGUACACUC